rnacentral:rRNA from 1 species
AGUGAACGCUGGCGGUAGGCCUAACACAUGCAAGUCGAACGGCAGCACAGUAAGAGCUUGCUCUUACGGGUGGCGAGUGGCGGACGGGUGAGGAAUACAUCGGAAUCUACUUUUUCGUGGGGGAUAACGUAGGGAAACUUACGCUAAUACCGCAUACGACCUACGGGUGAAAGCAGGGGAUCUUCGGACCUUGCGCGAUUGAAUGAGCCGAUGUCGGAUUAGCUAGUUGGCGGGGUAAAGGCCCACCAAGGCGACGAUCCGUAGCUGGUCUGAGAGGAUGAUCAGCCACACUGGAACUGAGACACGGCCCAGACUCCUACGGGAGGCAGCAGUGGGGAAUAUUGGACAAUGGGCGCAAGCCUGAUCCAGCCAUACCGCGUGGGUGAAGAAGGCCUUCGGGUUGUAAAGCCCUUUUGUUGGGAAAGAAAAGCAGCAGGUUAAUACCCCGCUGUUCUGACGGUACCCAAAGAAUAAGCACCGGCCAACUUCGUG